CUUAUAUCAGUACCACAAACAUGUAAACAUUUUCAUCAAAUCUUACACAAACAUCAUUAUAAUAUCAGAACUAAAUAUAAAAAAGACAAGAAACUAUGGGGAACUAAAUCAAAACCUUGAGCUCCCAUUUUCCUUCUUGGCCUUAGCAUGUAUCUCUCAGAGAAAGCGUAGUGGAUGCACUUUAAUAACCAGACUCCCAUUAACUGAUCUGUCUUAGCAGUGGAUCCUUUUUUAACAUAAAACCAAAAUAGAUGAGAGGAAGAAAGAAAAACCUGUUGAUCAGGAUUCUGAAAUACAAAAAUUCUUAAGGUUUUUACACAAAGACAGUUCCGCUGGUUUGGAUUUAGUACACUGACUAAAAUCUGCAAGCAGAUUUAAUGAGGUGUCACUCACACAAGCAGUAUCGAAAGAUCAUACAUUUCCCUGACCAAGAUCAGCUAAAUUGCUUUAAUAGAAUUUUAAUGAGAGAGAGAGAGGACACAUGCCUUUAGAAAGGGUACUAUUAUCCACACAGCCAUUGGGACCAAGAAGCAUCUGUAAUUGACCAGAAGGAAUCAAUAAGCAACGAUGAAAGGAACAUUACUAGCAAUUAUGUUCUCACAAGACCACU
rnacentral:lncRNA from 1 species